GUCCGGGAAUGAUUGGCAUCCGUGCGUAGGAGACCCAGGCGGAGAAAGCCGCUGGAUUGGCUGCCCUCCCUGCCACGGGACACGACGAUUGGCCCUACUCGGUGCCGGAAGUGAUGAGGCCGCGGUCUGGAAACAAGGUUGUUGUCGAAGGAGCCAGAAGGUGGGAGCCGGCUUUUACCGGCUGGCCUUGCGCUGCGGACGCGAGGUCGUGUGUCGCCUGUGAGCCUGUGUGAGCUUCGAGAAUGUGUCUCUAGCCGGCAGGAGGCUCUUGCAGGAGCAAAGGCAGCCGGGAUGAUGGCCGCGAAGGAGAAAGGCGGCCUCGGCCCCCACCCGCGAUCCGGCUCUUUCCUGGAGGUGUUCCUGGACUGCGCUUCGCUCCGACUCCCGUGAGCCACGUUAGCAACCGGGAUGUGGUGAGCUCCAGACUCUGCCCGGAGGUUUCCUUAGACACCGCGCGCGCUUCAGCCGCCUCCCUUCCCCGGCUCCAGAACUUCACCGCGAUGGUUCAUGAAACAACAACAACAACAACAAAAAAAAAGGUUGACGAACCUCAGAGCUAGGCAGCAAAGUCGCAUCGUCAUGUGCCUGAUUGUUUGAAUUUACAGAACGCGGAAAAAGUUUAAUGAUGGUUUGCGUUAGUAGUGAUUUGGUUUGCAAACGAGCUAAAAAUUCGAAUCCCAGCGCUGUAGUGACCGAGACAGGCGUAUCCGGAGCUCAGAGUACAUUGUUGUGAACAUUUCGAGUUCAAGAUUUGAGUUCCAUGAAACCUUUGUCUCAGAAAAAUGCAUAAAGUAAUUGUGACGAGUCUGAUAUGUUGGUAUAGGCUUUUUAUCCCGGUACUUAGGCAGAGGCAGGCUGGAUCUCUGAGUUCCAGGCCAGCUAGGGCUACACAGUGAAAGCCAAUUUCAUAAUAUAAUAAAAUAUAAAAUAACAAGUAACCAGGGCUGGAGAAAUGGCUCGGCAGCUAAGAGCACGUGCUGCCCUUCCAGGGAACCAGAGUGUGGUUCUCGGCACCCACCUCAGACAGCUUCACAGCCACCUUCAGAGGACUUGACAUCUUCUGACUUUUCAGGAACUCACACACGAGUAGAGUACUCACACAUAUAGACUACAUAUAAAUCUUUUAAAGUAAAUGGGACCUGGGGAGAUGACCUGUCGGUCAAAAGCACUCACUGGCUGCUCUUCCAGAGGGUCUGGGUUCGAUUCCCGGCAUCUGUAACUCGUUCUAGAAGAUCUAACAUUGUCUAGGGGCUCCCCAAACAUGCACUAGUACACAUACAUAUACACAGAAAAAAUUACACGUAUGCACAGAAAAAAAUCUACAAAAAAAAAAGUUUUAAGUAAUCAAACUUCCAGUCUUGUCCUAUUUAAAGUGCAUCUGUGUAUUUGUGAACCAGAAAAGCUAAGUGACUAAAAUCAAUAUUUAUACUUCUUUGUUUUGUUUUGUUUUUGACUUUUGGGGUUUUGUUUGUUUGAGACAAGUUUUCUCUGUGGAGCCCUGGCCGUCCUGGAAAUAGUUCUGUAGAGGGUUUGGGUGUUUUGUUUUGUUUGUCUGUAUAAACAAAGUCUUUACAGAGCACAGAUUAUGAAAUCAUGGGAUUGCACAUCCCGGAGUGAUGGGACCUUAGAGGUGACCUUUCUUCCCUAUUUGAAGCAAAUACAGAGUUUAGAGGACAUGGUAUGAUAAAAACUGCCCUGCCCCUGUUCAAAAUUCCAGCUUUGUGAUGAGUAGCUGUCCUUGUAACCAUGGACACUUCAACUUUUGGUUAUUUUCCUGGGUAAACAGGAACAACAGAUGGUGCCAAUUUCAUCAACAUGGGACGAAGAGGAUGUGAAACCUGUAAAAUACAUGAGCGCCUACAUAAAGAAAAGCUGUCUGCUGGAGUGUACUGUGUGUAUAUUGUGUGGGAAGGCAGAGGACCUCUUUGUGGAGUUAGUUCUCUCCUUCGAACUUUAAUGUUUCAAGGAUCAUAGACUCCAGGGCUGGAGAGAUGGCUCGAGCGCUAACUGCUCUUCCAGAAGUCCUGAGUUCAGUUCCCAGCAACCACAUGGUGGCUCACAACCAUCUCUGGUGAGUUCUGAUGCCCUGUUCCGGUGUGUCUGAGGACAGCUACAGUGUACUCAUAUACAUUAAUAAAUCUUUUUUAAAAAUA
ensembl:sense_intronic 2810013P06Rik RIKEN cDNA 2810013P06 gene